GUGCAGAGCGUCUAGGGUUCCGGCCGCGACCAAGCGGUGCUGGUCCAAGAGACGCGACCGCCAGGGAUGCACUGAGGCAUCCGGCGGAACACGGCGGGCCAAAAUCCCGGGAGAA
rfam:Mesorhizobium alhagi CCNWXJ12-2 contig366, whole genome shotgun sequence.